rnacentral:lncRNA from 1 species
GGUCAGUGCAGAUGGGGACCGCUGCAGUGAUGCUCAGUGGGGAUUUGGGGGAGAUCCUUCAGAGAUGGGAGCUUUGUGGGUCGGGGGGUCCUGGAGAAGAGGCUGGCGUGGGUUUGUGCUCCCCAGCCUACAGAUGCCCCAAAAGGGCCAAAAGGGGGGGGGGGUGCAGUGAUUUAGGGGACCCCAAUGGGAUCGGUGGGGCAGCCCUCAGCUGGGCUGAUGGGACCCCUCCUUAUGGAGCAGCUCACAGAGGGCUUCCAGCGGUCCGCAGGCAUCACAGCAUCCCAUAAGGAAAACCCACCUCCACCUACCUGAACCAAGGGCGGUGCUGCUCCCUUCCCGGUGUCACAUCCUAAAAUGCACCCCAAAGCCCUCCAACCGCACUGACGCCAUCCCCAAACCCCUCCAACUACAAUAACGUGCCCCAAAGCUCUCCAAACACUCUCACAUGUGCCCUAAACCCCACCAACCACACUGACACCGGCCCCAAAGCCCUCCAACGUGUGCCCCAAACCCCUCCAGCUACACUACCACACGCCCCAAACCCACAUAGCUUUGCCAAAACGUGCCCCAAACCCUCCAACCAAUGCUAACAGGGAGGGAUGCUAUGGGGCAGACCCCAUUCCCAGCCCCACACUGAAGGCUUUGGGGUUCUGACCCCACCACCAGCCCGGCUCUUCCCUUCGGUCCGGGCUCUCCUUGGACUCUGCUCCCAUUGCGGUGCGUUGCUGGGGAGACCAGCAGGUUUAUUUACUGUGAGGGCUGCGAUAAGGAUGGGAACGGGGCGGUGAACACGCGGUGUCCAAUGUGCCUGACCCACUUUCUGGCAGCCCGGAGCUGCGGUUGGAUUGCAGCGAGCGGAGGGGAGAGGUGUGGGGAGAUGGCCCCACAAGUGUUGGGGUUUGGGGUUUCCUACGCUGUGAACCUCGUGUUGUUCGGGCUGGGAGGGAGGGAGGAAAUGCAGCUGAGUGGGGACGGCGUUGUUUGGUGUUGGGGGGAAAGGGUGGGUGAUGGGAAAGGAUGUAGGGAUGGGUGCUGCAAGUUGGGUGCUGCAGGAGGAUGGGUGCUGCAGGAGGAUGGGUGCUGCAGGAGGAUGGGUGCUGCAGAAUGGGUGCUGCAGGAGGAUGGGUGCUGCAAAUGGGUGAUGCAGAGGAAUGGGUGCUACAGGGAGAUGCUGGAGAAGUAUGGGUGCUGCGCAAGGUUGGGUCGUGCAGAUGGGUGAUGCAGAAGGAUGGGUGCUGCAAGUUGGAUGCUGCAGAGGGAUGGGUGCUGCAGAAGGGUGGUGGUGAAGGAUGGGUGCUGCACAAGGAUGGGUCGUGUGGAGGGAUGGGUGCUGCAGGAGGAUGGGUGAUGCAGAUGGGUGAUAUGUAGGGCUGGGUGCUGCAGAAGGAUGGGUGCUGGAGGAGAAUGGGUGAUGCAGGGGGAUGGGUGCUGCAGAUGGGUGCUGCACAGGGUUGGGUGAUGCAGAAGGAUGGGUGCUGCAGGACAGGUGAUGCAGGGGGAUGGGUGCUGCACAGGGAUGGGUGAUGCAGGGGGAUGGGUGCUGCACAGGGAUGGGUAUUGCACGGGAAUGGGUGCUGCACAGGGAUGGCUGCUGCAGGAGGAUGGGGAGCAGCACCAACCAAACCCAGAAGCGAGAUGGGGAACAAAAGCCCUCCCCAUCCCCACACCCUGCAGCCGGGGGGGACAGGAGGAGCGGCAGUCCCCAUCCCGGCGUGUCCCCCCCGGCGCUGGCACAGUGGCCCAGAUCUGCCAUUCCGCAUGGCUUCCCCGGCCUCUCCCAGCACGCAGAGCGCCGCGCUGCUCCUCGCCCCCCGCCCGCUAAUCCGACACGACUCUUCCAUUAGAGCUGAGACGCCGGCAAAGAGCUUUUUGGUGUAGGAAUUAACUCCUUCUCCCACCCCGUCCCCCCUCUCUGCCUGUGCGGGUGCGUCCCCACCCUCCUCCUCUUCCUCCUCUUUCUCCCCCCGGGGCUGUGGGAUGAAGGCGCCGGGGGAUAAUCCUAAGCCCUAACCGAACCCUAAACGUGGGGUGGGAACAUGGGAGACAGCGGUCCCAAAGGAGAGCUCCCGGAGAGCCAAAGCGGCCCCAAAUGGGCAGCAAAGGGGGGAUCGGGGUGGGCGUCCCAUCCGAGGUGCUGAGCGGGGAUCAAUCAGCAGUGGAUGUGCCCACAGUGUCAGCAGUGUCACAGCCUGGAGCUGUCAGCCUCUCACAUCCGAUGUGACACUGCAGCUGGGGCUGCAGUGUGUGGGGUGGGUGCUCGGCGCCCUUCCAUCCCCCCACGUAAUGCUGUGGGGGGGUGACACCAUUCUUGGUGGGCCCAGAAGCAAAGCACAGCAGCGGCUGCGGCUCCUGCCCUGCGCUGAGGGCUCAGGCUCUGUCCCCACACAGGGUGUGGGUCUGCCCCACGCUGGCCAAGGCGGG